rnacentral:sRNA from 1 species
AGCAUUUCCGGCAGCCAUCCCCGCGGUGCUGACAUCCCGGUUGUUCUUCUGUGCCGGGGGUCUUCCUGCUGUCAUGAAGGACGUACCGGGCUUCCUACAGCAGAGCCAGAGCUCCGGGCCCGGGCAGCCCGCUGUGUGGCACCGUCUGGAGGAGCUCUACACGAAGAAGUUGUGGCAUCAGCUGACACUUCAGGUGCUUGAUUUUGUGCAGGAUCCGUGCUUUGCCCAAGGAGAUGGUCUCAUUAAGCUUUAUGAAAACUUUAUCAGUGAAUUUGAACACAGGUAAAACCCUCUCAUCCGUUUUUCACUUUGAAAAUGAGUACAUUGAUACUCAGUGGUACUCAAAGACUGGUGGUUUUUAUUUCAGGGUGAAUCCUUUGUCCCUCGUGGAAAUCAUUCUUCAUGUAGUUAGACAGAUGACUGGUAAGUCUCACUUUGUUUUAUAAAGGAGCAGAUCCAAAUGGUGGUUAAAAUUAUUUUGAAAUAUAAGUUAACUGAACUUUUGUGUUUUCUGUAUCAGAUAUUAUGUUUUUAUUAUACUUUAUGGUCAAAACCUAAAGAUUACCCUACCUAAGGGUGUCUUGGUUAGCAGAAACCGGUCUGUUGAUGGUCCUUCUGAUUGUUCUUUCUUUUCCAGAUCCUAAUGUGGCUCUUACUUUUCUGGAAAAGACUCGUGAGAAGGUGAAAAGUAGUGAUGAGGCAGUGAUCCUGUGUAAAACAGCCAUUGGAGCUCUAAAAUUAAACAUCGGGGACCUACAGGUUACAAAGGAAACAAUUGAAGAUGUUGAAGAA